rnacentral:rRNA from 1 species
CCUACGGGUGGCAGCAGUAGGGAAUAUUGCUCAAUGGGGGAAACCCUGAAGCAGCAACGCCGCGUGGAGGAUGAAGGUUUUCGGAUUGUAAACUCCUUUUGUUAGAGAAGAUAAUGACGGUAUCUAACGAAUAAGCACCGGCUAACACCGUGCCAGCAGCCGCGGUAAUACGGAGGGUGCAAGCGUUACGCGGAAUCACUGGGCGUAAAGAGCGCGUAGGCGGGAUAGCAAGUCAGAUGUGAAAUCCUAUGGCUUAACCAUAGAACUGCAUUUGAAACUGUUAUUCUAGAGUAUGGGAGAGGUAGGUGGAAUUCUUGGUGUAGGGGUAAAAUGCGUAGAGAUCAAGAGGAAUACUCAUUGCGAAGGCGACCUGCUAGAACAUAACUGACGCUGAUGCGCGAAAGCGUGGGGAGCAAACAGGAUUAGAUACCCCAGUAGUC